AAAAUCCGUCGACUUUAAAAAUCGUGAGGGUUCAAG
rnacentral:tRNA from 3 species